rnacentral:rRNA from 1 species
GAUGAACGCUGGCGGCGUGCCUAAUACAUGCAAGUCGAGCGAACAGACGAGGAGCUUGCUCCUCUGACGUUAGCGGCGGACGGGUGAGUAACACGUGGAUAACCUACCUAUAAGACUGGGAUAACUUCGGGAAACCGGAGCUAAUACCGGAUAAUAUAUUGAACCGCAUGGUUCAAUAGUGAAAGACGGUUUUGCUGUCACUUAUAGAUGGAUCCGCGCGGCAUUAGCUAGUUGGUAAGGUAACGGCUUACCAAGGCGACGAUGCGUAGCCGACCUGAGAGGGUGAUCGGCCACACGGGAACUGAGACACGGUCCAGACUCCUACGGGAGGCAGCAGUAGGGAAUCGUCCGCAAUGGGCGAAAGCCUGACGGAGCAACGCCGCGUGAGUGAUGAAGGUCUUCGGAUCGUAAAGCUCUGUUAUUAGGGAAGAACAAAUGUGUAAGUAACUAUGCACGUCUUGACGGUACCUAAUCAGAAAGCCACGGCUAACUACGUG